GACGAACGCUGGCGGCGUGCUUAACACAUGCCAGUCGAACGGAAAGGCCCUGCUUUUGUGGGGUGCUCGAGUGGCGAACGGGUGAGUAACACGUGAGUAACCUGCCCUUGACUUUGGGAUAACUUCAGGAAACUGGGGCUAAUACCGGAUAGGAGCUCCUGCUGCAUGGUGGGGGUUGGAAAGUUUCGGCGGUUGGGGAUGGACUCGCGGCUUAUCAGCUUGUUGGUGGGGUAGUGGCUUACCAAGGCUUUGACGGGUAGCCGGCCUGAGAGGGUGACCGGCACAAUGGGACCUGGGUACCGGCCAGGCUUCUACGGGAGGCAGGAGGUGGGAAUUAUGGACAAUGGGCGGAAGCCCUACGGAGGAACGCCGCGUGGCGGGAUAAGGCCUUUCGGGUUGAAAACCGCUUUGGCUUGGACGAAGGGUGAGGGGUGGGUAUUGGGAAAGAAGGACCCGCCUACUUCGUU
rnacentral:rRNA from 1 species